rnacentral:rRNA from 1 species
UACGUAGGUGGCAAGCGUUGUUCGGAAUUAUUGGGCGUAAAGGGCGCGUAGGCGGUUUGUUAAGUCAGCUGUGAAAGCCCGGGGCUCAACCCCGGAGAGUCGACUGAUACUGGCAGACUAGAGUACGGAAGAGGUAGCUGGAAUUCCCGGUGUAGCGGUGAAAUGCGCAGAUAUCGGGAGGAACACCAGUAGCGAAGGCGGCUCGCUGGGCCAUUCCUGACGCUGAGACGCGAAAGCUAGGGGAGCGAACAGG